GCCGCCGGAGCUCCGGAGAUCUACGGCCGUCGCUGGUCUGUUCCCACCGCCGGCAUCCCGCGCCGUCAUCUGCGCCGCUCGCUGGAGUUCGCCCAGCCCGUGUUUUUCGUCCCUGCUCAAGAGAGCAGAGAUUAAGGAAGAUAAAGGAUAUUACAAGCCUCCCCCGGCUAUCAAGGUUAUUAAGCAGGAAUCCAGGUACCGAUGGUGAUAACGGGAUGGCGUAGCAGUGAGGAUUUAAUUAAUAUCUAGAUUAUCUAGACUCUCAUGGUUUUAAUUUAAGUUUAUGUCAAAACUCUGAUUAGUAACUAAGUUUCUAUUAAUCAAGACUAAUGUUGGAUCUAUAUUAUGCUUCAUGUUAUAAAUGUUUAA